GCCAGCAGCCAUAUCACCCUGCAGCCCAAGACUGGUUGGCCACUGAAGCUAAGCAGGGUUGAGCUGGUCAGUACCUGGAUGGGAGACCUUCUGGGAAAACAAGGUUGCUGUUGGAA
ensembl:rRNA 5S_rRNA 5S ribosomal RNA